ensembl:lncRNA
UAUUAUCGAGUGCCGUUACAUACUGUGCAUAUGCAGGGGAAUGCUGAGCUAUCGCAGGAUAUUGGUGUCAUUUUAAGAUGAGGGAGUUAUUGUCCUGGGCCUUGUAGGCCAGCUGUCUCUCAUUCUUCCCUUAAAAAUAUACCCAGUCUUACCAAAGCAUCAAGGGUAGUUACUUUGCACUUUGCAGAAAUAAACAGGAGAGAAAUACAGGCAGACUAAUAUGGUGUAGUUAUCACACAGUCAAGUUCAUUUAUUCAGAAUAGUAUUGGGAGCAUCCAACCAAGGGCUGGCCUGAACAUCCGGGGGAGGAGAAUCACCCUGCCGUGGGUGGCACUUCCCUGGAGGCUCAGGCUAGACAGCCGUGGAGACGCAGAUGAAGGUGAUUCGUGUAGACAGAUCUGCAUGGGGACAGCUGCAGGUCAUAGGGGCUGUGUGCGAAGAUGGGCCCUCUGCAGCUGGGAAGCUCCAGCACUCCUCUCCAGGCAGAAGCUGCUAGCAUUGGCACUGUCACAGCCCAGCUGCCCAGGAACUGCACCUGCCAGACAGUCUCCUCCCCAUCAGGCCUUAUUCCAAAGGGCCAAGAGGAAAACAGGCCCAGGAAGGAGGGUGACGGAGAUGUUUGGCUUCUUGCUCUGACAGCCUGAAGGUGACAGAUAUGACAGGUGGAACUCUGGCCAGGUGAGAGCACAGCAAACCAAGGAAAACAAGUCUUUGAGGUAGGCAGUGGGCCCCAGGGAUUCCUGGUAGACCAAGAUCAGGAAGCACGUGCAGGGAAGAGAUAUCUGAAAAUCAAGUAAUGAACUGGGGAAAUUGGGCUGCAGAGGAAGUGGCCAUGAUUUACCCACCAUGCCUGCCAGGCGCAGCAGUCACUGCUUUGUACUCUGCUGAGUGUGUGGAGGCCAAGUGGCUCUUGGCUGUUUUCCAGACAUCCCAGAAUUGAAUUGAUGGGACCUGCGUGACAGGUGCUAGCUAGCAGGAAAUGUAAAGAAUCAGGCCUGAGCUGGGUUUCUUGUUCUCUUUUCGCAGGAGUGUUUCCUUCCCAUACCAAACCAAGGGAGUUCUGUGCCAACAUCCUUCCCCCUCCUUUUCCUCUGGGGCUGUCUUACUCCAACUUGCAGUCUGUUUUGUGGUUCCAGCCCAAUGGGCUCAUCAGUUUAUUCAACUGGCUUUUAAAACGGCCUCAUUUGUCCUGACAUGGGGAAAGAGGCCACAGUGUGACCAGAGAAAAAUGAUGGUGGCCCUUCUGCACGGCAUUUUGAGUCUGCAGGUCUCCCUGUGGCGACACGCCUAGGGGCCAGUCAGGACCACCCCUGCUUGUGCUGCAAGCUGAACUAUUGGUAGAAAAUGUGGGGUCUGCUGGCAGCCCACAGUCAGGUGCUCAGGAUCAGCAUCUUGUCACCCUCAGCCUCAGGCCAGGCCAGCUGGCCCUGCCUACGCCACGGGCAUGGCUGAAGGGCAGAAGGCCAGGCCAAGGAUACCCGGGGCUCAGUUUUCCUACCUGCAAAAUGAAUACUGUCAGGAAAGGCAAGCAAGGAAGGAGUGAGAACCAUUGGCA